rnacentral:rRNA from 1 species
UACAGAGGUCCCGAGCGUUGUUCGGAUUCAUUGGGCGUAAAGGGUGCGUAGGCGGUUUGCUAAGUUUGAUGUGAAAUCCCGGGGCUUAACCCUGGAAUUGCAUUGAAUACUGGCGGACUAGAGUCCUGGAGAGGAAACUGGAAUUUACGGUGUAGCAGUGAAAUGGCGUAGAGAUCGUAAGGAAGACCAGUGGCGAAGGCGAGUUUCUGGACAGGUGACUGACGCUGAGGCACGAAGGCCAGGGAGCAAACGGG